AUUCGAUGAUACGCGAGGNACCUUACCAGGGCUUGAAAGUUAGUGAAGAAUGUGGAAACAUGUUCGUCAGCAAUGACACGAAACUAGGUGCUGCAUGGCUGUCGUCAGCUCGUGCCGUGAGGUGUUGGGUUAAGUCCCGCAACGAGCGCAACCCCCAUCUUUAGUUGCUAGCAGGUAAUGCUGAGGACUCUAAAGAAACUGCCUACGCAAGUAGCGAGGAAGGCGGGGACGACGUCAAGUCAUCACGGCCCUUACGUCCUGGGCCACACACGUGCUACAAUGGUAGGUACAGAGGGCAGCUACCGGGUGACCGGAUGCGAAUCUCUAAAGCCUAUCUCAGUUCGGAUUGGAGUCUGCAACUCGACUCUAUGAAGCUGGAAUCGCUAGUAAUCGCGCAUCAGCCAUGGCGCGGUGAAUACGUUCCCGGGCCUUGUACACACCGCCCGUCAAACAAUGGAAGCUGGGGGUGCCUGAAGUCGGUAACCGCAAG
rnacentral:rRNA from 1 species